AAGUCGUAACAAGGUAACCGUAGGUGAACCUGCGGUUGGAUCAUUAACAAAUGAUUUGGUUUUUAACGAAAACACUGUGUGCAAUUAUAUCUGUCUCUGGUGGUUUGACAUUUCUCGUUUUUCGGGAAAGACUUAACCAUCGAAUGAUGAACAAACCUAUGUAUUUUCAAUUAUGUCUGAAUCAUUCACUAUUGUGCAAUGAAAAAACAACUUUUGACAACGGAUCUCUUGGUUCUG
rnacentral:misc_RNA from 1 species